rnacentral:rRNA from 1 species
UAGGGGGCAAGCGUUGUCCGGAAUCAUUGGGCGUAAAGCGCGUGUAGGCGGCUUGGUAAGUCUGCCCUGAAAGCCCGGGGCUCAACCCCGUGACGCACUGGAAACUGGGGAACUUGAGUGCAGAAGAGGAGAGCGGAAUUCCACGUGUAGCGGUGAAAUGCGUAGAGAUGUGGAGGAACACCAGUGGCGAAGGCGGGUCUCUGGACAGUUCCUGACACUGAGGCACGAAGGCCAGGGGAGCAAACGGG